UGUAUUGUUGCUUUACUGUUUCUCUUUUUAAAAUUAUAAGAGUGAUUUAUGUAUUGUAUAUUUUUCCAUAGAUCGAGACUAUUUUGAUUUCCUUUAGGAGGAAAAACAAAUCUCCUGUUCGAUAGGUGGAACAGCUUUAAGGACAAAAUUCUGAUAUAUUUCAAACGGCACAUCCACAACGAAGACUGCAAGCGACAACUACUUGAUGUAGAACGCGGCAACGUUGAUGCCCAGGAUUACUUGACCCUUAUUUUGCUUAAUGUCGUCUUGCCGCCGACAUCUCGGGCAAACGAACCAAAAACCGACAAUAGCGGAUGCUCAACUUUCAAUGGUUCUACGGCUUUCAAGCUUGAAUGACUAUGAACGUCGUAUCAACAAUAUAGUCAGGGAAAAGUAUUUAGAGGGAUCAACAAUACAGCCAUUUAUAAUUACUCACGCAUCGACUGAGCUGGAGUUCUUAGAUUUCUUUGUUUAUUUUGACAAGUCGCUGGUAAAAUGCGACUCCUUCCUGAAAAGCAUAGAUUUGUGUUUUAAGUGUUUCAUGUCUUACUCGCUGAGCUACCCGAAAGCCUCAGAACAAGCUUUGUACGCAGUUCAAAAGAUCAUUUUCAAAAUAGACACCGCUUAUGACAUAAGAUCAUUGAAUUUACAAAAUUUAAUCGAUUUCAUGAAUUAAAAUUAAUUUUUUAACAUAUUAAGCAUCUGUUGACAAGAACAUCCUUGUGGCUGCCUUGUCAGCAGGAUGGCUGCACACAAAUUUUUACAAAUUUCCUGAGUUUUCGGCGGCACUUAAUUAGAUUACAUACGCAAUCAAUUCCAAAUCGAAGAAAUUCAUGUGAAGAAUUGUUAUUCUCUAAGUACAAUCAAACCGUGGAAGAAGUUGAAGAAAAGGAUGAGGAAGAACAAAGAAAUUUAUGUUUUGAAGCCCAAAGCAUACAAUCAAUCAUAGACGAUUUAAAACAAAAAUUGCGUGAAUUUACUUUAAGUUUAUAUUUAAGAUCAUACAUUGUAAAAAAUCCAUUAAGAAACUACAUUUUUAAUUUGACAGACUUUGUAACGCCCCCCCUCCAUUU